rnacentral:snRNA from 1 species
UUAAACUAAACCGUACAUUUCAA